UGGCGAACGGGUGAGUAACGCGUGAGGAACCUGCCUCAAAGAGGGGGACAACAGUUGGAAACGACUGCUAAUACCGCAUAAGCCCACGGGUCGGCAUCGACCUGAGGGAAAAGGAGCAAUCCGCUUUGAGAUGGUCUCGCGUCCGAUUAGCUAGUUGGUGAGGUAACGGCCCACCAAGGCGACGAUCGGUAGCCGGACUGAGAGGUUGAACGGCCACAUUGGGACUGAGACACGGCCCAG
rnacentral:rRNA from 1 species